AACGUAGGAGGCGAGCGUUAUCCGGAUUUACUGGGCGUAAAGCGCGUGCAGGCGGUUCGGUAAGUUGGAUGUGAAAGCUCCUGGCUCAACUGGGAGAGGUCGUUCAAUACUGCUGGACUUGAGGAUGGUAGAGGGAGGUGGAAUUCCGGGUGUAGUGGUGAAAUGCGUAGAUAUCCGGAGGAACACCAGUGGCGAAAGCGGCCUCCUGGACCAUUUCUGACGCUCAGACGCGAAAGCUAGGGGAG
rnacentral:rRNA from 1 species